UUUUGUAGAUAAUUUAAGGUCUAGCCUGCCCACUGAAAUUUUAAAUGGCCGUGGUAUUUUGACCGUGCUAAGGUAGCAUAAUCAUUAGUUUUUUAAUUAAAAACUGGAAUGAAAGGUUGGAUGAGAAAAUAGCUGUCUCUAUUAAAUUUAAUUAGAAUUUUAUUUUUAAGUUAAAAAGCUUAAUUAUUAUUAAAAGACGAGAAGACCCUAUAGAGUUUAAUUAUUUAGUAAAAAUUAUAUUUUAGUAUUAAUUUAUUUAUUUUAUUAAAUAAUUUAAUUGGGGUGAUUGAAAAAUUUAAUUAACUUUUUUUUAUUUAAGAACAUUAAUUUAUGAAUAAAUGAUCCAAUAUUUUUGAUUAUAAGAUAAAAUUACCUUAGGGAUAACAGCGUAAUUUUUUUAGAAAGUUCAUAUUAAAAAAAAAGAUUGCGACCUCGAUGUUGGAUUAAAAUAAAUUUUUGGUGUAGAAGCUAAAAUAUUAGGUCUGUUCGACCUUUAAAAUUUUA
rnacentral:rRNA from 1 species